rnacentral:rRNA from 1 species
GCCUACGGGGGGCAGCAGUGGGGAAUAUUGGGCAAUGGGCGCAAGCCUGACCCAGCAACGCCGCGUGAAGGAAGAAGGCUUUCGGGUUGUAAACUUCUUUUAUUCGGGACGAAGAAAGUGACGGUACCGAAUGAAUAAGCCACGGCUAACUACGUGCCAGCAGCCGCGGUAAUACGUAGGUGGCAAGCGUUAUCCGGAUUUAUUGGGUGUAAAGGGCGUGUAGGCGGGAAUGCAAGUCAGAUGUGAAAACUCAGGGCUCAACCCUGAGCCUGCAUUUGAAACUGUAUUUCUUG